AUACAGGGGCUGAUCCAAAGCCUACUGUAGUCAGUGGAAGACUCCCAUUGGCUUCAAUGGGCUUUGGAUCAGACCCAU
rnacentral:pre_miRNA from 1 species